GCUGGGGGAGAGCUGUCCCUCCCAAGGCCUGCAGUUGGGAGGGGGACUUGGGGGGCCGUCUAGGGGCCCUUUCAGGGUGAGUCAUGCUAACGUAGUCCAGGCUGGCCUCGAACUUGAAGCGAUCCUCCUGCCUCAGCCUCCUGAGUUCUAGAAUUAUAGCUCCAUGGGACAUGGCCGCCCAGGCCGCCUUGCUGGGGCUCAUCUAGGAGUGGCGUUCCUCAUGUCGCCCUGAAGGCCAGCUCUGGACCUCCCCAGGAAAGUGCCACCUUGCAGAGCUGCUCCUCCGGAGCCCCGACCCUUGGGACACCCUCCAGCCGGCGGCCCCCAGUGGAGUGGGGGCUCCAGGAGGCCAGGCCUGGCUUGCUGACCUUGGACAGCAGCUGCAGGACGGGCCAGAGGGGGAGGCUGCCACCCAG
rnacentral:lncRNA from 1 species